rnacentral:rRNA from 1 species
GACGAACGCUGGCGGCGUGCUUAACACAUGCAAGUCGAGCGGAAAGGCCACUUCGGUGGUACUCGAGCGGCGAACGGGUGAGUAACACGCGAGUAAUCUGCCCUGGACUUCGGGAUAGCCACCGGAAACGGUGAUUAAUACCGGAUACGACGACUCCACGCAUGUGGUGGUCGUGGACAGCUUUUUCGGUUCAGGAUGUGCUCGCGGCCUAUCAGCUGGAUGGUGGGGUAAUGGCCUACCAUGGCUUCGGCGGGUAGCCGGCCUGAGAUGGUGACCGGCCACACUGGGACUGAGACACGGCCCAGACUCCUACGGGAGGCAGCAGUGGGGAAUAUUGGACAAUGGGCGGAAGCCUGAUCCAGCAACGCCGCGUGAGGGAUGACGGCCUUCGGGUUGUAAACCUCUUUCAGUACCGACGAAGCGAAAGUGACGGUAGGUACAGAAGAAGCACCGGCCAACUACGUGCCAGCAGCCGCCGUAAGAC